GCCAUUCCGCGUGUAGGAUGACGGCCCUCUGGGUUGUAAACUACUUUUAUUUGGGAAGAAACCCUGGGAUUUAUCCCGGGCUGACGGUACCAAAAGAAUAAGCACCGGCUAAUUCCGUGCCAGCAGCCGCGGUAAUACGGAAGGUGCAAGCGUUAUCCGGAAUCACUGGGUUUAAAGGGUGCGUAGGCGGUUGCGUAAGUCAGAAGUGAAAGCUCACAGCUUAACUGUGGAAUUGCUUUUGAUACUGCGCGACUAGAAUCAGGUUGAGGUUGGCGGAAUGUGACAUGUAGCGGUGAAAUGCAUAGAUAUGUCAUAGAACACCAAUUGCGAAGGCAGCUGACUGGACCUGCAUUGACGCUGAGGCACGAAAGCGUGGGGAGCGAACAGGAUUAGAUACCCUGGUAGUCCACGCCCUAAACGAUGCUUACUCGAUGUGUGAAAUAUUGCGCAUCCAAGGGAAACCGUUAAGUAAGCCACCUGGGGAGUACGUUCGCAAGAAUG
rnacentral:rRNA from 1 species